GACCGCCGCCCCGCAAAGGCGGCCAAGGCCAGACGGACAGCCGGGUCGAAUGCCGA
rnacentral:sRNA from 1 species